rnacentral:rRNA from 1 species
UACGGGGGGGGCAAGCGUUGUUCGGAAUUACUGGGCGUAAAGGGCUCGUAGGCGGCCAACUAAGUCAGACGUGAAAUCCCCAGGCUCAACCUGGGAACUGCGUCUGAUACUGGCAGGCUUGAAUUCGGGAGAGGGAUGCGGAAUUCCAGGUGUAGCGGUGAAAUGCGUAGAUAUCUGGAGGAACACCGGUGGCGAAGGCGGCAUCCUGGACCGAGAUUGACGCUGAGGCGCGAAAGCCAGGGGAGCAAACGGG